UACGAAGGGGGCUAGCGUUGCUCGGAAUUACUGGGCGUAAAGGGAGCGUAGGCGGACAUUUAAGUCAGGGGUGAAAUCCCGGGGCUCAACCUCGGAAUUGCCUUUGAUACUGGGUGUCUUGAGUAUGAGAGAGGUAUGUGGAACUCCGAGUGUAGAGGUGAAAUUCGUAGAUAUUCGGAAGAACACCAGUGGCGAAGGCGACAUACUGGCUCAUUACUGACGCUGAGGCUCGAAAGCGUGGGGAGCAAACAGGAUUAGAAACCCCCGUAGUCC
rnacentral:rRNA from 1 species